rnacentral:rRNA from 1 species
GAUGAACGCUGGCGGCGUGCCUAAUACAUGCAAGUCGAGCGAACAGACGAGGAGCUUGCUCCUCUGACGUUAGCGGCGGACGGGUGAGUAACACGUGGAUAACCUACCUAUAAGACUGGGAUAACUUCGGGAAACCGGAUCUAAUACCGGAUAAUAUAUUGAACCGCGUGGUUCAAUAGUGAAAGACGGUUUUGCUGUCACUUAUAGAUGGAUCCGCGCCGCAUUAGCUGGUUGGUACGUUAACGGCUUACCAAGGCGACGAUGCGUAGCCGACCUGAGAGGGUGAUCGGCCACACUGGAACUGAGACACGGACCAGACUCCUACGGGAGGCAGCAGUAGGGAAUCUUCCGCAAUGGGCGAAAGCCUGACGGAGCAACGCCGCGUGAGUGAUGAAGGUCUUCGGAUCGUAAAACUCUGUUAUUAGGGAAGAACAAAUGUGUAAGUAACUAUGCACGUAGUGACGGUACCUAGUCAGAAAGCCACGGCUAACUACGUG